CGCAGAAUCACCUACGCCAUUUUUGUCACUUCUGUCAAGGCGCCUUUUGUGAGCGGCAGUGUUUUCCGAAGUUGAAAGUGAAAAAACUCUAUAUUCCGGCACAAAACUCCGGCCAGUUUCAUCAGCAGCAGAACAAUCAAGCUCACACGGCGAGCGACAUGGAACAUAAAAUCAGCACGCGCUUGGAUUUCCUUAAGGAAAAAUUCGAGAACCUUAAUUUGCAGCCGCAAAUUGUUUCGGUUGGGGCAUCGCGGGGAGAAGGAGCGGUGCUUGUUAUUUUCGGGGGAGCGGAGUACAAGGCAGACCACAUCCUCCAUGCCAUUUGCAUUUGCAUGCAAGUGAUGUAUGUUUUGAAUCUCCAGUAUGCACCAGACUGCAAGCCCCUCUGGAUGUUCUUGCAGGCUUAUCUGUUCAAAAUCCCAGCGGUAGAUCUACCCAAAAGCACCCGCGAUUUACUGCGGGCUAUUGAGUAGGUUGAAGGCACAAUGAUGAAUAAAUAUUGACAAAUA